rnacentral:rRNA from 1 species
GAUGAACGCUGGCGGCGUGCCUAAUACAUGCAAGUCGAGCGAACAGACGAGGAGCUUGCUCCUCUGACGUUAGCGGCGGACGGGUGAGUAACACGUGGAUAACCUACCUAUACGACUGGGAUAACUUCGGGAAACCGGAGCUAAUACCGGAUAAUAUAUUUAACCGCAUGGUUCAAUAGUGAAAGACGGUUUUGCUGUCACUUAUAGAUGGAUCCGCGCCGCAUUAGCUAGUUGGUAAGGUAACGGCUUACCAAGGCAACGAUGCGUAGCCGACCCGAGAGGGUGAUCGGCCACACUGGACCUGAGACACGGUCCAGACUCCUACGGGAGGCAGCAGUAGGGAAUCUUCCGCAAUGGGCGAAAGCUUGACGGGGCAAAGCCGCGUGAGUGAUGAAGGUCUUCGGAUCGUAAAACUCUGUUAUUAGGGAGGAACAAAUGUGUAAGUAACUAUGCACGUCUUGACGGUACCUAAUCAGAAAGCCACGGCUAACUACGUG